UACGUAGGUGGCAAGCGUUGUCCGGAUUUACUGGGCGUAAAGGGAGCGUAGGCGGACUUUUAAGUGAGAUGUGAAAUACCCGGGCUUAACUUGGGUGCUGCAUUUCAAACUGGAAGUCUAGAGUGCAGGAGAGGAGAAUGGAAUUCCUAGUGUAGCGGUGAAAUGCGUAGAGAUUAGGAAGAACACCAGUGGCGAAGGCGAUUCUCUGGACUGUAACUGACGCUGAGGCUCGAAAGCGUGGGGAGCAAACAGGAUUAGAUACCCUGGUA
rnacentral:rRNA from 1 species